rnacentral:lncRNA from 1 species
GCUGGGUACAUCCUGCACCAAAAUAAUGCCUAUUUUUCUUUCCUUCCCUCCACAAAAAUGAUGGAAUAUAAUAGGCACUUCACCAUAGGAUCUAACUGGGAAGCCUUAAAAUCUACUGCUGUCUGAACACUACAUCCAUACAGAGAUCCGUGGGAGCAUGGGAGAUUUCGUAAUCUUCCAGGGGAUUCUCAUGUACAUCUAGGAAUGAGAGCCUCUGGACCAGAAUUUCAAGCAGAGAGGAAAUCCCAUACAGUUUAUGUAGGAAAAUGGUAAGAGAUCAGAAUUAAAUAGUUAGAGAAUAAAUUAUUAUUAAGAAGUGGGUAAAGCAUUCAGAGGUAAAAUUGCCCUUGUGUAUCUCUGUAACUCCUCCUAGCAGGGCACUGUGACCAAGGAGACAGGUGACAGAAGCCAAAUGAUGAAUGUGCUCCUUAUCUGGGAAUGCCUUUCCAUUCUCUGCCCUGAGGGAUCAUUAUUUACUUAACCUGUGUAGGAACUUGAUGGUAGGUAUGUGCUCUAGUACAGGUUCCCCAGAAAAUAAUGCCUAAGAAUUAUUAUUAUUAUUAUUGUUGUUAUUAUUAUUAGGUCUUUUUAAGGCCCCACCCAUGGCACAUGGAAGUUCCCAGGCUAGGGGUCAAAUUGGAGCUACAGCUGCCGGCCUACACUACAGCCACAGCAAUGCGGGAUCUGAACUGCGUCCACGACCUACACCACAGGUCACAGCAAUGCUGGAUCCUUAACCCACAGAGUGAGGCCAGGGAUCAAACCCAUGACCCCAUGGAUACUAGUUGGGUUCGUUACUUCUGAGCCACGAAAAGAACUCCAAGAAUUACUUUGGACUCAGACGUACAACACAACUGGCAUGCCCAAUGAAAAUCUUGAACUUUGAAGGAUUUCUCCCUGGAGCCCAGCAUGUGCCAUAAUCUUGACUCCCCGAUAAGUCUUCAUCUUCAGAGCCACUGUGACCUUCACCAAAGGCCUUGUGUGGGUGGUAAGUUAGGAAGGUCAAUCAUCCCCCCACUUUCUACAAAACUGGAGUCAAUUCCCACAAUUAAGAAAUGAUAGAAUCCAUUGCUAAAGCACCUCACAGUCAAGAGCAACCAGGGCAUCUAGAAGACCCAGGUAUUAAUCUCAACUUCCUCACUGUCUAUACUACUCUGCAAAUCUCAUUUCACUUAUUUAAUCCUCAGUUUCCUCAACUAAAACACAAGGGGGUGGAGUGCAUGACCUUGUGGGCUUUCACUGGUUUUUAAAAAUUUCUAGCAGGUGAGUGCAGUCAUACAACUCAGGGUCCUUGCAGAGUAGGAUCUCUGAGCAUCAGAGAUGCUUAGUAAGUUUUUGUUUGUGGAGGAAAUUUCAGUGACUUUAUUCUCAGGUCAUUCUCCCCAUCUCUUCUCUUAAAUAGGUGCAUCUGCAAGCCAGAUGUGUGGUAUCACAGCUUGGGUGGAAAUUCUAGUUCUCUCAUUGCUGAGUUGGGACUUUGAGAAAAUCAGUUAAUUUUCCUGAGCUUCUGUCUCUUCAUUGAUGAUACUGGCAGCAUAACAUCUCCACGACAUCUCAGGGGCCCCACGAGGCUGAGUGAGUCAGGUAUACAGAAUGCUUCACCCAGCAACUGGUAUGUCUUAGCCUACAUCACUCAUGCUCUCUCCAUCUAUCUUUUCCACACAUGGGCAUUAUCUUUUCUUUUUGACUGCACUUGUGGCAUACAGAAGUUCCCAGGCCAGGGAUGGAACCCACACCACAGCUCUAACCAGAGCCGCAGCAGUGAUAGUGAGGGAUCAUUAACUUGCUUAAGCCAGGAAGGAACUCCCGUGCGUGUGUAUUUCUAACUUUACAGAAUGGCAUCAUCACCUACUAGUUAUCUAUAUCAUAACAGACAUUGUCCUUCCUGGAAAAUAUUUCUUCCCUGUGUGCCUAGGAGAAAGCUAUACACACGGUGAAAGGAUAUUAAUGCUGCUGAAUGAAUAGCAAUGAUACAGCUGGAAAGACCAAGAUUUCUGCCUUAGGGAUAACAGGAGCUAGAUGGAGUUGUUUAGCAGUUCUGCUCCAGACCUACCGCGAGACUUUGAGGAGUCAUUUAACUAUCUCCAUAUUCCAGCAUAUCAGUGUUAAAAGAGGAGUGACAAGAGUUUGGAAGAGUGAUGUCACUACCGCUGGAAAUGCAGUCACAUAAAUUAUUAAUGCAUUUUCUAAAGAUUUCUUAGAAGAUCAAACUCUGCGUCUUUUCUUCCCACUAAGUCCUUAAAACCCUUUUCUGCACUCGGAGAUUUUCCAUUCACUGCUGGCAAGUCCUCAAGGUGAUUGGAGAAAGGCAUCUCGCAGACUGGGAGGCGGAGAAGUCUGCCUUGCCCCGGAUAUGUGCUGUGAGUCCCGACGGUGCGCACACACACACACACACACACUCUCUCUCUCUCUCUCUCUCUCUCUCUUUCUCUCUCUCUCUAGAAAAUAAAUUACUGACAGUGGGGCUCACAUGUGUCUUUGCAGGCACCAUCCCAGUGACCUCCAGAACCUUCGCAUGCCUGAGUCCUGGGCAGAAAAGAGAAGGUGGUGGGGCUGUGGGAGGCUUCCAGAUGCGGAGGAGGGUCCCCCACACAGCGCAUCCCGAGCCGGCGUUUCCCUUCCAUUUAUUUCCGUGGCACUGACUGUGUGUGCAGCCAGCCAUGCGGCAGCGGAGAGAUACCCCAGAGAAAGAGGAAGCCCGUUGAGCUAUUUUUCACCAUUACAUACUUCACUUCCUAAUAAAUGAGAUCCAGAGCAUGCAAACAGCCCGUCUUGUAGAGAUCAUCAUCUUAGGGAAAAAUCGCAGACCUAACGCAGCACAAAGUAAAAAAUAAAUGAACCCAGAGGAGAGUCAUUCUGGUGAAAUUUGAUACCAUAACUCUCUUCUUAUAGCAUCCUGUUCCUCCCUAGAAGUUUCUGCGCCUCUGAGGUGUAUCGGGGCUCUAAUGGUGGUUAAAAAAAAGAAAGGUGCUAGAUCUUUCUCUGUCCUCAUGCCAGCUUAUUUUCACCAGCGGAAAGAGAUUUAUUUAUAUGUAAGAGUAGAGAAGAACUCAGUUGAGACCAAGUCAUAUUUCACCUGAUUCAAUCCCUGGUGGUCCCUGAUUGGUAAGUGGCGUGAAUUAUGAGGGUUUUAUCAGCUACCUAUGCCAAGCAGCGCCUCAGACCUCGUAUUUCAGGAAUUGUAACAGCGCGGAGCAAGUAACACGUGACAUACCCAUUCCUGCCCUGCAGAGCGCACAGAUACCCCAGUGCCUUGGCUUUUACUGGCCUUUUACAGUCUUUUGGCUUUAUCUUGAUCCUAGAGCAGAAAAACCCACAUUUGGAUGCAACUUCAAGUGUUGAGGUCACCAGUGCUGCUGGCUGUGUCAACUAAGGGAAUCAGUGGACAGUAAUACAAUCUCCCCACAUCCACCAGGGAGUAUAAUAUUUCACAUAGAAAAAUAACAAAAUACUCCCAGGGCCCCGGGGCAAUAUCCUGAAGUUGUUUGAGGUGAAAGAAAAUAACCGUCUUUGGGGCAAAAGAAUUUCGACUCUUUAGCAGUAAACAUUGCUUGCUUUUUGGCUUACACCAUCUGAAUAUUUAUUCAGCCCUAUUUCAGGUAAGAGAAAGUCAUGGCUUUCCCACACAGCCUUGUGAGAUUUCUUUGCCCAGUGUUUGAUGGCCCUAAAGUCAUCUGAGCUGCUGAAUGAGGUCUUUCUGGCCAAAGCCUUGCAAUUUCCUAGCACAUUUUAACAAAACACCUGGUGGAUCUCUAAGCCUCUGGAAAACUCUGGAUGUCUGUCCCUCUUGUUUGGACAGGGAGAAAAAGGAGCAGAACAAACCAGGUCUUACCUUCUCUGUAGCCUUCCUUUGUGGACUCUAAUAUGCAGGGAAAUGGAAAGCAAUCCGUCUCCCGGGCCAGGAAGCUAGUUGAGGAGGUUCCCCAGCCUAAAUGAUGAGUAAACUGAUUGGCAGUUACUUUCGGUGGAGAAAAGGUUGUCCCUUCCAAACAAUUAAGCUGCUCUCCCCUUUUAUGAAACACAAGUGGGGUGGGAUAGAGAAGACUUCAGGACUCUAAAAAUCUAAAAGGGUCUGUCACAUCCUUUUCCUCCCAGGCAGCUGGAAAGUGGGAGAGACGAGGGGAAGGGAAGCACAAACAAGAGCCCUGACAACCAUUCCUAUAUCACCAUCUCUCUCUCAAGCCAUCCUGCUGUUCCCAGUGAAGCUGAGGUAGAUGGAAGGAAAAUCAAUGAACUGGGAGUCCAGAGACUGAGUUUGAGUCGUUUAUGAUUUCGCAGACGUCAUCUUACUGUUCUGAGUUGUGUUCAUAUAUAAAAAGGAGAAAUCAUGUUUACUCUGUGUAGGUCUUGGGCUUGACAGGAGAGAAGACUGAGGUGAAGACUGUUUUUGUUGCUCCUGGACACAGAGCUUUAAAGCAGUUCCCAGGGUUCGGUAGGGCCAUGUGACUUCUAGCCAAUAGAACAUAAAUGGAGGGAUGUGGGUGAUGGAAUCUCCCACGAGUGACCUCCUGUGCUGGUUCCCCAAAUACCAGCCAAACACGAGAGGUUUCCUUAACCCAAAAAGAAGGAGCCCAGAAUCCAGGAGUUUGGGGCCCCAGGCUGCUGUGAAGAAGGCUGUGUCCCAACAGAGAACGCCUGUGUUGGACUUCUUUCACAAGAGUAAAAAUAAAGUUUUUUUUUUUUUUUUAAUGUUAAAUCAUCGAAGUUCAGGGUUGGUUUGUUAUAGCAGCUAGUGUUAUCCUAAUUAAUACAAGAAUCAAAUAAGGGAAAAAACAAAUGUAAAAACAUCGUGUAACCUCUACAACACUACACAGAUUUAAGGGUUUUUUUGGAGGGUGUGGUUGUAGGAAGGGCUGGGGUUAACUGCUGUAGGUAUAGUGAAACAAAAUACUACUGGCUGAUAUUGAUUUGAUGUUUAUGACCAGAUACAAACCUUAUGUGGUGUAUUUAAUUUACUCAUCCCAGCCACCUUAAGUCAGAACUUUUUCCUUAUUUUGGCUUGAAGAAAUCUUGCUUUAGAGAAAUCAAGUCAGUUGCUUGAGAUCGUAUAACUAUCUAGGGCUGCAUGUUCUUAUUCAAGCUCUAUUUUUUUCAAAAUCCGCUUUAAACUCUAAUACAAUAUUCAAAAAUUUUUAAAUUCUCUUGGAGGAAAGUUGAACUGUUUACUUUCUCUAUCGCAGAGGAAUAACAGCAGAGAAAUGUUCGCAUGGAACAUUCUGUUCAUUCCGAUAGGUCUGAAAAUCUCGGUGUUGGAAAUGACAUUCUUUAAGUCAUUCUCCAAGUGUGGACAGCUACUUCUUAGUUAAAAGUGUGCAGAUCAAGUAAUUGAGUUAUCCAUUUUCUUUCAUUAAAAGUAACCCAGGACAGCCAGAGGCUUGGGUAGAUGAAGGGUUUUUUGUUUUUUCUGUUCUCAAUUGUGUUUCUCUUAAGCUUCAAAAGUGCCCUUGCCAAAAGCAUGAUUUGAGCUGCUCUUUAAAUAUUUUUACCAGGUGAGGAAUUGCUGGUUCGUUCCAUUGUGUCAGUAAUGGUUUUAUAUUUGUCACUCUUAGCUAGCAGAUUGUCCAUGAACUGUGUACUGUUUUCACAUUCAUUUUGGAUACUAUUUGGGGUGUUAUUUUUAUUCAAGGGCAAGUAAUGGAACCAAGCUGAUUAUUUAUUUUAUGCACUUUGAAACUAUUUGGGGCUGUAAUGAGUGUUAGCCUUGACCUGAGGCGUUUGAGAGGCAAAACCUCCUCUAUCAAAAAUCGAGUCAUUACACAACGAAAGAGUAAGAGUAUCUGGCCAUUUUCCUCUGGUUUGGAGACCCAACUCCCAUCCCUUUGUCCACAGGUGUUGUAGAUGCCUUCCUCAGACUUGAGAAAUCUGGUUUGGUUAAACUUUCUGCUGUUCAGAUAAAAAACAGCAGCAAUUUUCUGCUUGAAUUUCUCUGUGACUAAAUCCAUUGAUCAUCCUUUCUCUCUGUGAGUGAGAAGUGUGUUUUCUCCUUAAUAACUCCUAUCCUUCUCUUGGAUUUUUUUUCCCCUUCGCUUGUUUGUGUUGUGUUGGUCAGUCCUAUGCGCUAUUCCUCUGAGAGACAGAGGGAGCGCAAAAUUGAAGUUAUUUUAUGCUUGGGCUCCCUCGGUCCCAAUUUUCAAAUCUUCAUGUCAAUUUUCACACAUCAGUGUCAUGUGGUGAAUGUUAUGGAAAUUUCAGUGGGGUCCUUGGGAGGCAAUUUAUACACGAAUCCCUCCCUGCCCCCCCCACCCCCCCAUCUACUACAUCCUACUGCAAUUCCUAUCUUUUCUUAGAAUAAGUGGAUCUAUAAUUAAUGUGGAUUUUUAAAAAUAUAACGGCAUUCAGAAUUCUCAUAGCAG